AGUGGGAUAGCUGGGUCAUCUGGUGGUUCCAUCCCUAGUUUUUUGAGGAAUGUCCAUCCUGUUUUCCAGAAUGGUUGUACUAGUCUGCAGUCCCACCAACAAU
rnacentral:pre_miRNA from 1 species